rnacentral:rRNA from 1 species
UACCAGCACCCCGAGUGGUCGGGACGAUUAUUGGGCCUAAAGCAUCCGUAGCCGGUCCUACAAGUCUUCCGUUAAAUCCACCUGCUUAACAGAUGGGCUGCGGAAGAUACUAUAGGGCUAGGAGGCGGGAGAGGCAAGGCGGUACUCAGUGGGUAGGGGUAAAAUCCUCUGAUCCAUUGAAGACCACCAGUGGCGAAGGCGGCUUGCCAGAACGCGCUCGACGGUGAGGGAUGAAAGCUGGGGGAGCAAACCGG